rnacentral:rRNA from 1 species
AUGCGUAACGUUAAAUUUUGCUUCUGUUCCUGGAAUGUCCGGGGUCUCGGCCAAUCGCAGAAAUGCUCCGAUGUUCUCUCGGAGCUUCUCACCAUUAAUCCUCACACCUGCUUUCUUCGGGAAACCAAGCUCAAUGACAUCGCCUGCCUUAAAUGUAAUAGCUUUCUCCCCCGGCACCUAGAUACUUCCUGCUUUCUACCCUCAACUGGCUCAGCAGGAGGAAUGCUCUCUGCCUUCUCCUCUGCCCACUUCACAUCUCUCACUUCCAACUCCGGUCUAUACACCCAAACCUCUACAGUAUCUUGUCUUGCCUCUCCCCAAAAUUUGACUGUCACAAACGUAUACGCCCCGACAGAUCACGGCCUAAAGCACUCCUUUCUUCAGGAGCUCGCUAAUUGCUCCCCGCCCCCCGGCUCUCCGUGGCUAAUCCUAGGUGAUUUUAACCUUCUUCGCCAUCCCUCUGAAAAGAACACACCAGGGUUUCGCCAGUGUGAGGCUGACCUGUUCAAUGACUUUUUCCACUCGUGCGCUCUCAUUGAGCUUCCCCUCCUGGAUCGUAGCUUCACCUGGUCUAGUAAGCGAGACAAGCCGACCCUUGAGAAGGCUGACAGGGUUUUUAUCAACACUGAUUGGGACCUUCUCUUCCCUAACACCACCUUGGCGUCCCUUACUCGCUUCGUCUCUGAUCAUGUCCCCAUUAUCAUUUCGGUCGACUCCGCUAUCCCCAGGUCCGCGCUUUUCAGGUCUGAAAACAGAUGGGCCCUAAGGCCAGCCUGCCGGCAUGUCAUCCAAUCUGCGUGGGACUCGGCCCAAUUGCGAUCAACUCACGCUCUCUCCCUGGUGGCUGCGUUUAAACGUUUGCGGUCAGAUUUAAAAACCUGGACCCGUCUCUCGAUGCCUAUUAAUACCAGGGAGAACAACUGUCGAUCUAUCAUCACCAUCCUGGAUAUUAUCGAAGAAUCAAGAUUCCUUUCCUUCCCUGAGCUCGCUCUCUGCCGCGUCGUCAUCAAAGUCCUUCAGCGCACCCUCCGUGAAAAAGCCCUUUUCUGGAUCCAGCUCGGGAAGAUUCGCACUACGAUUGAAGGUGAUGAAAAUUCGCGUUUCUUUCACGCCUCAGCCUCGGCUCGUCUCCGUAGGAACAAGAUUAGCAUGCUCAUCUCGAAUGGGACGGAAUUCUUUUCCCACGCUGACAAAUCAGAAAUUCUCUCUGACUACUACACAACCCUUCUUGGCUCUCCUUUCCAACCGUCGUGGGCCUUCAAUCUCACGGACCUGUACCCCGCGCCCCUCCCUCAGCUAAGAUGGCUU